CACUGUACUGGCCUGAAACUGGCAUAACCGCACAAAUAAACACAGCCUUCAGUCAGGCUGCCAGAAGCAAUAGUUUGGAACAAAUGGCAAAUAAAGGAGGAAUCAGCUGAAGCCGGUGAAAGAAUGUAUACUUGAAACCCAUCUGAGAAAUACUGUUAGAUCCCAAAGUUUCAGUGUGUGGAUUGCUUUGAAUGAUUCUAUAAAAGGUACAGAGAAGAGAAUUCAUCACCAGAUGGAAAAAGAACACGUUGGAUGCUGAUGUUGGAAGUCCAAAGCAGUGUCCAAAGCAUAUUCCCCCUACAGCCUCCAAAUUUGUCUGCCUUGGCAUAUGGCCAAGAGGGCCUUCUAGGCCAUCUCAUCUGCUGAGGAGAGCUCGU